rnacentral:rRNA from 1 species
GAUGAACGCUAGCGGGAGGCUUAACACAUGCAAGUCGAGGGGCAGCACAGAACUUCGGUUCUGGUGGCGACCGGCGCACGGGUGCGUAACGCGUAUGCAACCUACCUUAUACUGAGGGAUAGCCCAGAGAAAUUUGGAUUAAUACCUCAUGGUUUUUUCGAAUCGCAUGGUUUGAAAAAUAAAGUUUCAGCGGUAUAAGAUGGGCAUGCGUAUGAUUAGCUAGAUGGCGAGGUAAUGGCUCACCAUGGCUACGAUCAUUAGGGGUUCUGAGAGGAUUAUCCCCCACACUGGUACUGAGACACGGACCAGACUCCUACGGGAGGCAGCAGUGAGGAAUAUUGGUCAAUGGGCGAAAGCCUGAACCAGCCAUCCCGCGUGCAGGAUGACGGCCCUAUGGGUUGUAAACUGCUUUUAUCUACCAAGAAACGCAAGUACGUGUACUUGUCUGACGGUAGUAGAUGAAUAAGCACCGGCUAACUCCG